GGCGCUCCUCCCUGCCUAACUCAGCCAGAGUCGGCCCGCAGAGCCUUCGGUGCAGCCGGGUCUCUGGUCCGAAAGCUAAAUCUGAAGUGUGCGGACACCUGCGGGGAAGAAAUCGCCAUUUAUCUCACCGACUAGGAAAUGGGCAGAGACACACUGUCACGAAUCGCGUUGUCCACAACAGAAGGUAAAAAAAUAAGAGAUAGAAAAAGCUAGCGUUGGUCUCUGCAUUAUCAGCAUCUCCAGUAUUUCUGCGACUCAAUCACUGACCAAAGUUGGGCGCGGAGAUAAGGCCACUGAAAUGGGGAGCACAGCGUCAUCCUUUUUUUCUCCUGCACUAGUAAAUUAACGGUUAUCUUGCACCCUGGAGCCUAGUUAACGUACAAAUACUUGUGGGUGUUUUGUGGGUAGCGCUGCUCGUCCUCAGGAAUGCAAAAUAGUUCAUUAACUUUCAUAAGAGUUUGUUAGGCAGGUGGCCAACUCAACUACAAGUUUUAUUUUUCUGCUUUUAAUAGCUAUUACAAUUAAUUUUGGAGAGAAUGGAAAUGCACGCCUCUAAGAAAUACGGUACAGCAGAGUCGCUCUAAGAAUGCAUUUAAACAAAGCUUUUUUAAAAAAGAAUUCCUUUUUAUGCAGGAAUGUAUUUUAAAAAAAAAAAAAACUUUCUUCCAUCUCCCUCAAAAAAAUCCUUCAUAAAAAUGUCUAAAACAAAAUUAAAUUUCCAACAAAUCGAAAGAAUUAAUAAACUAUUUCAAUGCUGCAUUCCAUUUUUGAGCUAAAUAUUUAAAAUCAUAUAGAAGCUUUUCUCGUUUCAUCUUUAGUCAAGCCCUCUCAAGUAGGAUCGGUGUAGGUGUAGGAAACAGAUUAAGAAAUUCGAUGUCCUUGUACUGAGCACAUACAUAGUAGACUGACAAUAAAUAUUUGUUGGGUGAAGUAAAUUGCUGAACUGCUUCUAACAUUACUUUUCUAUGAUUCUAUCAGAAUGUUAGAAGUUAACCAGGCUCAGAGAAAUGGGAACAAAGGCUGUUUAGGAAAGACUGAAACUAAUGUGGACAGUUGGAAAGGCAGGUAUCCCCCGUGCCUUUGGUGAUGUUAAGUUCUUCCCUGACCACCAGGCACUAGAUUUCUAUUUGUGCUGGUGCUUUUCCCCAGCGCUGCUGGCGAUGCUCAGGGAGACUUAUUCCUUGAGAUAUUUCAAUCUCUCUAGGAGUCUCUCUGAGACUAAUUUGGGAGCAGUGCACGCCUGCUAGGACAGGAGACAAAAGGUCACAGGAACCUUCCAGCCCUUUCCUUGGAACCACCUAAUAAACACCAAUGAGUUUUACCUUUUGUGUAUCUCUUUAAAGGGUGUUUUUUGUUUGUUUGUUUGUUUGUUUGUUUGUUUUUAACCUCUGCUGGAGCAUGUGAAUUCUUGACCACAGCAAAAAUGUGUUAUUAUCCCUGUUCUUCCAGUGAUGAACCUAAGUUCAGCAAUGAGUCCUGGGUCACCCAGAGAUCCAGGGGAGAGUCAAGGAUUGGCUUAAGCACUUUGGUCCUACUUUGGCCUCUGCUCUGAAGUCCCAGAAACUUCUGCUGAGGAGUCCCCAGUUGGCGUUGCAAGACUCACAGUGGGUUUGCCAGUGCAUCCUUGUUUGUUCGGUUUUUGUUUUGUUUACUUCCCUGCACCACUUCUGAUUUUACCACUUGGAGUUAGGAGUGGCACCCUUGUAAUAUAACAUGAAACUUUUUUUGUUUGUUUGCUUAUCAAAUCAUUCUCGUUUUUUUUCCAAAUCUCCUUGUGCUAUCUACAUUUCUACCUUUAAAAACAGGCAUUUCAGUGUUUCUGCCCCACAAACCUGUUGCAAGCAAACUAUAUACUUCCACCACCGGAGCAGAUUGUAUGUGCAGGGGUUGGCAAACUGAGCUUUUAUUUUAUUUAUUGCUUUUAAGCCCAAGCAUGCGGGUCAAGAUGAAAUCAUUAACCCGCAUUUAAAAUUAAUGUUAACAAAGUCCAGAAAAAAAGACUUGCUACCUUUGGGUAACUACACUGAGGGGAAGCGGGACAGUGCGAGAAGGGAGAGAACAGAAGAGGGAAAGACAGUUUCCUAAACUGAAAGUAAACUACUAGCUGAGCAGCCCUUGAACUAGUUCAAGCUCUAAAAACUAUAUAGUGAGAAAACAAUAAACCGCGACAAUUGAACUCAAGAGGGGAGAUGGGAUUGGGGUUGGGGAAGCCUAGAACGGUGGAGUUGACACCUGGGACUUGGAACAGAAAAAGAGGACAAGUCCCUGGGAAUGUUCUGGCUGAGAUGGGGCUAGCCUUUCCCCCUGUGUCUACUUCAUGGGGCCCAGAAGUAGGGAAAGCAGAUUACUAGAGCUUCCUGGAGGAGCUAGACUGGUGGCUUCCAGGUGGAUGGACCCAAGAACAUUUCCUCUCCAGCACUCCCUCAACUCCUCAGCAAGAAUCUGCAAAAGAGCACGGGCUGCCCUUUCUAGACAUCCUGCCUAUCUCCACCUAUCCCCCUCCCAGCCUGUCCUUCCUUCCCUACACCCCCAUCUGUUUUACUUGGGGACAAGCAGCUGUAAUCAUGAUCCUGUUGGAUUACACUCCAUCCUCCUUCCCUGAAUGCCUCCAGAGAACCCCUCUCCCACUAAUCUCUGGGAAGUGAAAUGCUGUGGGGGGAGGUGGGAGAGGGUUUUUCCUGGGAAGAACUUCAGGAUGUCUGAGAAGCUACCAUACUGAAUUGGAAAUUAUGUGCCUUUUCCUUGGGGGAAAAUUAUAAUACUUUUGAUUGGACUAUGAAAGGAAUCCACAGUUAUGCAAACUGGCCAGUAAACUAAAUUCUCAGAAGAAAUAGAGAGCUUGAACUUGUUGUUCCAUUGUCUGUGCGACCCUAGUCAGUUAUUCUUUCACUCCUCAGUUGCCUCAUCUGCAAAAUGGGAAGGGUGCCCUUUCUUGGCCUGGCUCCUUGUGAAGACUGGGUAAUAAUGAGGCUAGAAUGUCUUUGAGUUCUAGCUCCAUUAUAGACAUUCCUUUCUUCCUGAGGUGACAGUACUUGCAGCCUACAGAGAGCCAGGUUGCUGAAUGCUUCCUGGAGCUUGACUGAAAGGAGGAGACAAAAGGACUCCGGCUCUGCUCUAGAGGUCUCUUUCUUAAAAGGGGCCAAGGGGGGACCGAUGAUGUGUUCAGUGAAGUGCUUUUGGCUUGUAAACUGACACUAUAUUACAACAUACAGUUCAGAGUCCCUCUUGCAAAUUACCAAGCACAAGCACCUCAGUUGAUUCAGUGAGUGGAUCUCUGUGAGGCGGUGAGAGGGGUGGGGUUCCCGCAUGCUCCCCUCUUCCUCCAGCCCCCAAUCUCUCUUGAUCUGCACCCCUUCCCAUCUGGUGAGAACCCCUUUAGCAAGACAAGCAAGGGAACCCGAAUUUAAAAAAAAAAAAAAAAAUCAGGAGGGAGCAGAGUUCUUUUUCUUUUCUUGGUGUGACUUUUUUUUUUCCUUUUCUCCAAACACCUCUCCAAAAUAAAAACUAAUAGUAAAUUAAAUAAAAGGAGGAAGAGCGUUUCAAAUUGUCUCCCACUCACUCAUCCAACAUCUCCGGGCUGGCCAUGGAGCCGCGGCCCCUCUGCCCGACUCCAGCAUGCUUAUGCCUUUCACAGGGCCCAGGCUGCCAGGAGAUGAGCUUGUGCUCUGUGGAUUCCCAGCCAGGGCUCUGCGCCUCCGCGCGGGAAACCCAGAGCCCAGAUGUCGGAGCCACUCCUUGGCCCAGGGGAUGCUAAGAAGGAUCCUUAACCUUUCUCUGUGCCUCCCCUUCCUCAACUGCAAAAUAGAAUUAGCCUUAGAGUACUUGGCAACCUGACAGGGUGACUCGCCCAUGCUGAGCAUUCAGUACUUGAGAGUUAUUUAUAUUAUUGUUAUCAUUUCAUCUCAACCAACUGGCCCAUACAGAGCUCCAGACUGGGGGAAAUUCAAGUCCUGAUUUCCUCCGGACUCCGCCCAACUGCCCAGACUCUCUGGCCUCGAGAUGCAGAAAGAAUCCUCCCCCCUUUCUACCACCAGCUCAGAUGCCGUGCUAAAUCAACCUGCCGCAGAGCCAGGGGUGGUGACUGAUGUUUAGAAACUUCUGGGCAUCUUGUAGAAGGACCUUUCUGUGGCUAGUUAUGGCUCUAAUUUCUCCAAAGAUGACCUCGAAUCCACCUCCUCUCGUGGAAAGCUUCUCUUAGCAUUGUACAGUCUCACGACUUUGACCGGCUGUGGAUGUAGCGAAAUAAAUAAUCCCAGAUGGGACUGCAGAGAUAUGAUUUCCCAAUUUAUUUUGUGUAAUCAAAUAUACGACCUGUCACAAUCAGUGGGGGUGGAGGUGAGGGAAAGGAACUUGGGGGAGAUAACUGUUCUCCACUAGGCUGCUAGAAUUCUCUCUUUCUCUGCAUGUCCAAAAGUAAAGACAACUGGGCUCUCAUCUCC
rnacentral:lncRNA from 1 species